UCUGCAUGGAGCCGACCUUGAAAUACCACCCUUUAAUGUUUGAUGUUCUAACGUGGGCCCCUUACCGGGGUUGCGGACAGUGUCUGGUGGGUAGUUUGACUGGGGCGGUCUCCUCCUAAAGAGUAACGGAGGAGCACGAAGGUUGGCUAAUCCUGGUCGGACAUCAGGAGGUUAGUGCAAUGGCAUAAGCCAGCUUGACUGCGAGCGUGACGGCGCGAGCAGGUGCGAAAGCAGGUCAUAGUGAUCCGGUGGUUCUGAAUGGAAGGGCCAUCGCUCAACGGAUAAAAGGUACUCCGGGGAUAACAGGCUGAUACCGCCCAAGAGUUCAUAUCGACGGCGGUGUUUGGCACCUCGAUGUCGGCUCAUCACAUCCUGGGGCUGAAGUAGGUCCCAAGGGUAUGGCUGUUCGCCAUUUAAAGUGGUACGCGAGCUGGGUUUAGAACGUCGUGAGACAGUUCGGUCCCUAUCUGCCGUGGGCGCUGGAGAACUGAGGGGGGCUGCUCCUAGUACGAGAGGACCGGAGUGGACGCAUCACUGGUGUUCGGGUUGUCAUGCCAAUGGCACUGCCCGGUAGCUAAAUGCGGAAGAGAUAAGUGCUGAAAGCAUCUAAGCACGAAACUUGCCCCGAGAUGAGUUCUCCCUGACUCCUUGAGAGUCCUGAAGGAACGUUGAAGACGACGACGUUGAUAGGCCGGGUGUGUAAGCGCAGCGAUGCGUUGAGCUAACCGGUACUAAUGAACCGUGAGGCUUAACCUUACAACGCCGAAG
rnacentral:rRNA from 1 species